AGCAUGGUCUUAGCUUGCUAAGGCCGAUGGCGACCGGCGCACAGGUGAGUAACACGUAUCCAACUUUACGUCUACUCUUGGGCAGCCUUCUGAAAGGAAGAUUCAUACAAGAUGGCAUCAUGAGUUCACAUGUUCACAUGAUUAAAGGUAUUCCGGUAGACGAUGGGGAUGCGUUCCAUUAGAUAGUAGGCGGGGUAACGGCCCACCUAGUCUUCGAUGGAUAGGGGUUCUGAGAGGAAGGUCCCCCACAUUGGAACUGAGACACGGUCCAAACUCCUACGGGAGGCAGCAGUGAGGAAUAUUGGUCAAUGGGCGCAGGCCUGAACCAGCCAAGUAGCGUGAAGGAUGACUGCCCUAUGGGUUGUAAACUUCUUUUAUAAAGGAAUAAAGUCGGGUAUGUAUACCCGUUUGCAUGUACUUUAUGAAUAAGGAUCGGCUAACUCCGUGCCAGCAGCCGCGGUAAUACGGAGGAUCCGAGCGUUAUCCGGAUUUAUUGGGUUUAAAGGGAGCGUAGAUGGAUGUUUAAGUCAGUUGUGAAAGUUUGCGGCUCAACCGUAAAAUUGCAGUUGAUACUGGAUAUCUUGAGUGCAGUUGAGGCAGGCGGAAUUCGUGGUGUAGCGGUGAAAUGCUUAGAUAUCACGAAGAACUCCGAUUG
rnacentral:rRNA from 1 species